UAGGAUCCCCAGAAACUUGAUCCUGGGUGCCAGUAUGGACCACGUUCAGCUAUUUGCUUCUCAAAUCUGAGGGAGACCCAUUUGCCUAAAUGCUGAUUUGUCACAUAAAAAAACUAAGCAAUUGGGUUAAAAUUUACCUUUUGUUCUAGAACAUGUAGGGGAAAAAAUUCCAGUUGAGUUUAAACCCUAAUAUUCAUCCUUCCCCUUCAAAUGAAGUAUUUCUCUCUCUGUUUUUUAAAUGUUGGAGGACCCCUAAAGAAUUCUUAAUGAGGUAAUCAUUUUAAUGAUAUGUGCUAUCCAGGUUUACAUAGAAGUAGACUUUUUCUUACUGUGUGUAUAUUCUUCCCAGACAUCUCAUAGUCCAAAACAGUUGACAGAUUGUCCUCUGGAGAAAGGAAGAAGCUAAACUGAAGUUGGAGAUGUAAGUUUGGGGAGAGGGAACUUGCUGUGGGGUCAUUACUCCAUACUCUGGUCUCUGAAAGAGCUGCUUUCCAAACUGACCUACAUUAGGGGAAAUAAACCAGUCUGUACCUGUUUCAAAGGGAUAAAGGAGCUUUUAGUUUAUCAAUCUUUCCUUUUAAAUUAAAUAACCACCAACAUCUUAGGAAAGGGGAAACAUUUUGCUUUAAGAACAGAAGAUGAGCAUGGAUUCUUUUUUAUUUUCUAGUUUCAAAUCCAACAAUCUUCUUACAUUUCGAACGUCAUGCUGGGAUGUUAAUGAGUGCUUUUAAAAAAGAAAAUUUUCAGUAGCCAGG
rnacentral:lncRNA from 1 species